rnacentral:snoRNA from 1 species
AAGUGAUGUAGCAGGGACGUACUGAAGCUAAUGUGGAAAGAGUAUAAAGACUGAC